rnacentral:lncRNA from 1 species
AUUACUUUUAAAAGGACAUUUGUCGUCAUAAUUUUAGAAUAUAAAUAAAGUCUGUUUUUUGACUGAUAUAAUCAGCCGUAAUCAACAUAAAAAAAUGGAACCUUAUGUGUAGUGAAUAUAGCGUGGUAUAUAGUGAGUAUAGGGUGGUAUAUAGUGAGUAUAGCGUGGUAUAUAGUGAAUAUAGGGUGUUAUAUAGUGAAUAUAGCGUGGUAUAUAGUGAAUAUAGGGCUUUAUAUAGUGAAUAUAGGGUGGUAUAUAGUGAAUAUAGGGUUUUAUAUAGUGAAUAUAGGGUGGUAUAUUGUGAGUAUAGGGUGGUAUAUAGUGAAUAUAGGGUGGUAUAUAGUGAGUAUAGGCUGGUUUAUAGUGAAUAUAGGGUGGUAUUUAGUGAAUAUAGGGUGGUAUUUAGUGAAUAUAGGGUGGUAUAUAGUGAAUAUAGCGUGGUAUAUAGUUAGUAUAGGCUGGUAUAUAGUGAAUAUAGGGUGGUAUUUAGUGAAUAUACCGUGGUAUAUUGUGAAUAUAGGGUGGUAUAUAGUGAAUAUAGGGUGGUAUUUAGUGAAUAUAGGGUGGUAUAUAGUGAGUAUAGCGUGGUAUAUAGUGAGUAUAGCGUGGUAUAUAGUGAAUAUAGGGUGGUAUAUAGUGAAUAUAGGGUGGUAUAUAGUGAAUAUAGGGUGGUAUAUAGUGAAUAUAGCAUGGUAUAUAGUGAAUAUAGCGUGGUAUAUAGUGAGUAUAGCGUGGUAUAUAGUGAAUAUAGGGUGGUAUAUAGUGAAUCUAGGGUGGUAUAUAGUGAAUCUAGGGUGGUAUAUAGUGAAUAUAGCGUGGUAUAUAGUGAGUAUAGGGUGGUAUAUAGUGAGUAUAGCGUGGUAUAUAGUGAAUAUAGGGUGGUAUAUAGUGAAUAUAGCGUGGUAUAUAGUGAAUAUAGGGCUUUAUAUAGUGAAUAUAGGGUGGUAUUUAGUGAAUAUAGGGUGGUAUAUAGUGAAUAUAGCAUGGUAUAUAGUGAGUAUAGGGUGGUACAUGAUGUAAAUGUCUAUAUUAGCUUCUCCUUUUUGAAUUGAAUCAUGAAAACGGACGAUUCUCACGACGUUCAUGUUUAUUUGUGACGCUCUAGAAACUCAAACCGAUAACCGAAUUCAUAGCACGUUUAUUUGUUUUCAUC